rnacentral:rRNA from 1 species
CCAUUAGGGAUUUUAAUUCUAUUAGUUUAGUGGCGGACGGGUGAGUAACACGUGAGAAUUUACCUUUAGGAGGGGAAUAACAGUUGGAAACGAUUGCUAAUGCCGCAUAACAUUUUCGAAUGAAAGAAGUAAUUCGCCUAAAGAAAAGCUUGCGUCUGAUUAGCUAGUUGGUUAGGGUAAAGGCCUACCAAGGCGACGAUCAGUAGCUGGUUUGAGAGGAUGAUC